GCAGGCGCAGUCACAUUCUUUGUUUGUGAAGAGCCACUAGGUAACGCUCUGUAGGUAACUGUAUAACUUAAGAUAACACCAUUUUGAUCUAGAAAAGGGACUUGUCCCCAGCUGAC